UUGGUUAAGCUACUAAGAGCACACGGAGGAUGCCUAGGCGCUAGGAGCCGAAGAAGGACGUGGCGAACAACGAUACUGCCUCGGGGAGCUGUAAGCAAGCUUCGAUCCGGGGAUGUCCGAAUGGGGAAACCCAGCUAGUGUAAUAGCUAGUUACCCGUAUCUGAAUACAUAGGAUACGAGGAGGCAUACCCAGGGAACUGAAACAUCUAAGUACCUGGAGGAAGAGAAAACAAGAGUGAUUCCGUCAGUAGCGGCGAGCGAACGCGGAACAGCCUAAACCAGAGAGCUUGCUCUCUGGGGUUGUGGGACGUCUCACAUGGAGUUACAAAGGAACAUAUUAGGCGAAGAGGUCUGGAAAGGCCCGCUAUAAGAGGUAAAAGCCCUGUAGCCGAAAGUAUAUUCCCUCCGAGACGGAUCCCGAGUAGUGCGGGGCACGUGAAACCCCGUAUGAAUCCAGCAGGACCAUCUGCUAAGGCUAAAUACUCCCUAGCGACCGAUAGUGAAACAGUACCGUGAGGGAAAGGUGAAAAGCACCCCGGAAGGGGAGUGAAAUAGAUCCUGAAACCGUGUGCUUACAAGAAGUCAGAGCCC
rnacentral:rRNA from 2 species